ACAUUUUGACUUUGUUUUAAAUGGCCUACUGGGCACAUGUCCCUGAAGAGGAGGUUUAAGGCUGAACAUUUACCACUUCUCAUCAACACUAAAGUCAGUAGGCUGAAAGGAAAGUUUGACCAUGCAAAGACAUUCCAGACUAGCGAGGGAUCUGCAUGCUUGUUGUACUGCUGAGUCAUAGUUCUGCACAACCAAUACAGCAAUACACCACCUGACAUCCUGACUGUUAAGGAACGAUUGAAGCAAACAUUUCCUCUGAGCAUCUGGAAAUUGCAGAAGGGAUUGCUGUUAACCACGUCCUGAAGAAAUACCCAUUAUUAAGAACAGCUUGUGGGCAGUCUAAGCAGGGAUGCCCAGACACUUCCUCCAGCUCU